rnacentral:rRNA from 1 species
ACGCUGGCGGCACGCCUAAUACAUGCAAGUCGAACGCAGUAGCAAUACUGAGUGGCAGACGGGUGAGUAUAAUGUGGGAAUAUGCCUUUUGGUUUGGAAUAACUUGGGGAAACUCGAGCUAAUACCGAAUAAGCCCUUACGGGGAAAGAUUUAUCGCCGAAAGAUUAGCCCGCACUUGAUUAGCUUGUUGGUGAGGUAAAAGCUCACCAAGGCAACGAUCAAUAGCUGUUCUUAGAGGAAGACCAGCCACAUUGGGACUGAGACACGGCCCAGACUCCUACGGGAGGCAGCAGUAGGGAAUCUUGCACAAUGGAGGAAACUCUGAUGCAGCGAUGCCGCGUGAGUGAAGAAGGCCUUUGGGUUGUAAAACUCUUUCGUCGGGGAAGAAAAUGACUGUACCCGAAUAAGAAGGUCCGGCUAACUUCGUGCCAGCAGCCGCGGUAAUACGAAGGGAUCUAGCGUAGUUCGGAAUUACUGGGCUUAAAGAGCUCGUAGGUGGUUAGAAAAGUUGGUGGUGAAAUCCCAAGGCUCAACCUUGGAACUGCCAUCAAAACUUUUUAGCUAGAGUGUGAUAGAGGAAAGUGGAAUUUCUAGUGUAGAGGUGAAAUUCGUAGAUAUUAGAAAGAACACCAAAAGCGAAGGCAACUUUCUGGAUCACUACUGACACUGAGGAGCGAAAGCAUGGGUAGCGAAGAGGAUUAGAUACCCUCGUAGUCCAUGCUGUAAACGAUGUGUGCUAGACGUUGGAAAUUUAUUUUUCAGUGUCGCAGCAAAAGCGUUAAGCACACCGCCUGGGGAGUACGACC